AUUGAACGCUAGCGGGAUGCCUUACACAUGCAAGUCGAACGGAGCGGCGAACGGGUGAGUAAUGCAUCGGAACGUGCCCGGUAGCGGGGGAUAACUACGCGAAAGGGUAGCUAAUACCGCAUACUAUUGGAGCAGCCGAGAUCGGAUUAGCUAGGUGGUGGGGUAACGGCCCACCAAGGCGACGAUCCGUAGCUGGUCUGAGAGGACGACCAGCCACACUGGGACUGAGACACGGCCCAGACUCCUACGGGAGGCAGCAGUGGGGAAUUUUGGACAAUGGGGGAAACCCUGAUCCAGCCAUCCCGCGUGUGCGAUGAAGGCCUUCGGGUUGUAAAGCACUUUUGGCAGGGAAGCGUUACCUGCAGAAUAAGCACCGGCUAACUACGUGCCAGCAGCCGCGGUAAUUC
rnacentral:rRNA from 1 species